rnacentral:tRNA from 2 species
GGGCCCGUAGCUCAGUCAGGUAGAGCGCCGGGCUCUUAACCCGGGGGUCGAGGGUUCAAAUCCCUCCGGGCCCG